rnacentral:rRNA from 1 species
GUGCCUAAUACAUGCAAGUCGAGCGAGCUUGCCUAGAUGAUUUUAGUGCUUGCACUAAAUGAAACUAGAUACAAGCGAGCGGCGGACGGGUGAGUAACACGUGGGUAACCUGCCCAAGAGACUGGGAUAACACCUGGAAACAGAUGCUAAUACCGGAUAACAACACUAGACGCAUGUCUAGAGUUUGAAAGAUGGUUCUGCUAUCACUCUUGGAUGGACCUGCGGUGCAUUAGCUAGUUGGUAAGGUAACGGCUUACCAAGGCAAUGAUGCAUAGCCGAGUUGAGAGACUGAUCGGCCACAUUGGGACUGAGACACGGCCCAAACUCCUACGGGAGGCAGCAGUAGGGAAUCUUCCACAAUGGACGAAAGUCUGAUGGAGCAACGCCGCGUGAGUGAAGAAGGGUUUCGGCUCGUAAAGCUCUGUUGGUAGUGAAGAAAGAUAGAGGUAGUAACUGGCCUUUAUUUGACGGUAAUUACUUAGAAAGUCACGGCUAACUACGUGCCAGCAGCCGCGGUAAUACGUAGGUGGCAAGCGUUGUCCGGAUUUAUUGGGCGUAAAGCGAGUGCAGGCGGUUCAAUAAGUCUGAUGUGAAAGCCUUCGGCUCAACCGGAGAAUUGCAUCAGAAACUGUGGAACUUGAGUGCCGAAAAGGAGAGUG